UUCUUUGAUUUAGAUUGAGACUAAUGUGGAAAUUAGAAAACUAUCUGCAGCUGAAAGCGAAAUACUUCUGCUUGCUUUUUUGGGAUCCAUAAAAGGGCUCUUAGAAUUGGUAAUUUAUUUCAUGUAAUAUGUUCUUGCAGUGCCUCUGCUCUUCAUUGCAACUAUAGCUACUUUCUAUGGAGGUUAUUAUGCCAAGAAAGGUGUCAAAAUUAUUAAGGGAAUAGUUGUAGUUGAGUUCUAUAAAAAUGCAAAUGGGAAGGUGAAGGUUGUGAAAUUGAAGGAUGGGAGGGUACUGGAUGCUGACAUUGUUAUUGUUGUUGUUGGUGUUGGGGAAGACCCUUACCACAUUGCUCCAAGGACAAAUUGAGGAAGAGAAAGGUGGAAUUAUGAUUUGUGUGGUCCUCAUAUCCUUUUAAACUUGCACUGUCUAAUUACGUUGUAGGCAAUUUCUUCAGUGCCAUCCACAUUCACUGCCCUAUCUCAACCACCAUAACCAUAAUUAACAUGUUUAACCACCCAAUUUACUAGGAUUGCAGCUGGUGAUUGACGUGAUGGAAUUCUUUUCUUUCCUAUCAAGAGAUGUUGAUUCAGGAAAUCCUUUGGAAACUGUGAUCGAGGUUCCAGCUCUCCAUAGAGGUGACCUUUGGGAUGAGGAGCUGGUUGCGCACGAGGAUGGAUGUGUGUGCAAUGAUUAUGCAUUUGGAGCACACUGAGGAUGGGAGUAUCAUCUUCUAUUUUUGAUUCCUUUUGUACUUAAUAGAUGUAGCCCUAUAGGGGUAUAACUGUAAUUAUGAUCCAGAUGUGAACAUUCUUUUUGUGUAAAUAUGGUAAAUAUCAAUAGAAUUCAUUAGUUGAUAUAUUU